AGUGAACGCUGGCGGUAGGCCUAACACAUGCAAGUCGAACGGCAGCACAGUAAGAGCUUGCUCUUACGGGUGGCGAGUGGCGGACGGGUGAGGUAUACAUCGGAAUCUACUUUUUCGUGGGGGAUAACGUAGGGAAACUUACUCUAAUACCGCAUACGACGUACGGGUGAAAGCAGGGGAUCUUCUGACCUUGCGCGAUUGUAUGAGCCGAUGUCGGAUUAGCUAGAUGGCGGGGUAAAGGCCCAGCAAGGCGACGAUCCGUAGCUGGUCUGAGAGGAUGAUCAGCCACACUGGAACUGAGACACGGUCCAGACUCCUACGGGAGGCAGCAGUGGGGAAUAUUGGACAAUGGGCGCAAGCCUGAUCCAGCCAUACCGCGUGAGUGAAGAAGGCCUUCGGGUUGUAAAGCCCUUUUGUUGGGAAAGAAAAGCAGCAGGUUAAUACCCCGCUGUUCUGACGGUACCCAAAGAAUAAGCACCGGCUAACUUCGUG
rnacentral:rRNA from 1 species